AAAACAAUUUCUGCAGAGAGAAAAAAAAAAAUUCCCUCAGUUGAAGAUGUCAUUUGUAAAACACCAACAAGCAAUCGAUGCGUGGUGACAUUUGGCCUUUUCAAUCACUCCCAGCAAACACUGGAAAUGAAAUGCGAAAGCUUGUCUGAUGAAAUAGAAAGACCUCCCAGCCCACUCAUAUUCUUAGUUUAUUACUUAGAACUGAAACAUUCUGCCA